rnacentral:lncRNA from 1 species
UUCGCGCAGGUGCGUCGCCCUCUCUCCACGUCCACGGCGCCGAGUCUCGCCACGGUGGCGCAGGCGCCAGGGAGGUUCCCCGGCUUUGCCGCGCGGAGGAAGUCCCGGUUACGCAGAGCGCGCUGGGGCAGGGCUGACCUUCCCCUUUCUCUACUUCACUGGCCUCCUCCAGACGUGGUGGUUGCGCCCUUUCGGCCUCGCUUUCCGUUUUUUGGCUUCAUCCCCUAGAUCUGCAAACAGUUCCUCGUGUUUCUUCCGUUAGCCGGGAAACGCGAACUGCAGCGUUUGGGACCCGGGUUUGCGCGUGUGGAAAGCAAAAGGGGUUACUCUGCUGGAGUUCGACAUUGCAAAUAAAGGGUUGAGUUUGUGCAUCGAUUGUGAACACAACAGGCAGCAGGCUAUAAUGGUGGUCCUGGCUGGAGUAGUUUUCACAGACUUCAGUAAUCUGUGGAGAUGAACGGGCAGUUCUCUGUAGUUUUCACAGAUCACUGCCAGUUCGUUUUGAGGCCUUCAGGAGUGAAGACCUGGCUCAUCAUCACUCUUUGUUGUUUUGUUAAAUUUAUUUACACCCUACUUUAUUCCAGAGGAAAGGAUUUAACGUAGUUUACAUAAAUGUGUACAUCAGGGUAAAUUAAAAAUAAGUACAGAGAAAAAUAGGACAAAAGAAAACCGUGAGUGUGAAAGAUAAGAUUAAGCCAGCAGUUUUGUAUGCAAAAUGCAUGGUGUAAGGUCCUAUUGGUUUGCUGGAGGUAGGCCACACAUAUGACUCUCAGUUUUCUAGCAACCAAGAAAAAGAUCAGUUGCAAUCGGAGUAGGUGUUUUGGCUAAGCUGGAACUAGGACUUGAAUAUAGCAGCUUGUAGAGUUAUACCACUUGCCCAAAUCUCUUCCAUGAGCCUCUUUAAGUGUAACAGAAUGCCUGGGAGCACGUAAAUGCUCCUACUUAGAUGCCUACUUAGCCUCUAAUUUUCAUGGGGCCCAUGAAUCCCAUGAAAAAGAACUUUGAACCCUGUCCACAAUUAGAGUUCAGGUAUACGCAGACAUGUUUAAAGACAAGGGACACCCAAAGGAAAGAUUGCACAGAGAGAAAGUGAGCAUCCGAGAGAAAAUCACCACAAGUGAGGCAGAGGGAGGCCGGUCUCAGCAGAGUUUUGGAGGUCGUGAGAAGAAGAGGUAGGAGAUAGGAGAGUGGUUCCGAGUACUUGCCUGCUGAUGUUACCUUCUCCACCCCCACCAGGUUUUCCAGUGCCUGGAGUCUUGGGCAGGAAUGGGCCACUGUAAGAAAGAGCUUUAUCACUAGGGCCUCAGCCAACUUUUCUGUGGGAUAUCCCUCCAAAAUAAUUAAGAGUUCAGAAUGCUUCAGAUUUUGAAGUGAAACUGGUACAUAUAUUAAGUGUUACUUAAUAACCCGAUAGUUUCUAGGGCAGCUCACCAUAAUCCCAAGUAUUAGCCACCACCCUCACCCCCUUCAGAGUAAAAUGUGUUUCCUGAAGGAAGUUGGGAAAAUGAAGAAAAAAAAUACAAAAAUCACCUAUAAUCUUACCAGUCAUAGAUGGCAGUUUUCCUGUCUUAUUUCUGAAUAAUGGUUGUUAAACAUUUGCCAGCACACCAUAAGGCUUAGGGAGGCAUCUGGGUCAUGCAUGUUAAUAUCCUUGGGUAAUUCCAGAAAUCUCUAUGAAGGGAAACUCCUGUUAUUUAUCUAGACUUCCUGAUUGCAAGGGGUUUGGGCAUCAUGAUUUAGGGGUCUUAAUAAAAUUAUUAUUUUAUUUUUACUAAUAGAUAAUGUCUGUGCCUAUCAGAUAAAGGCAAACCAGUGCUCAGAGGAACCCAACCAUCUCUGAAUUGAGACCAGAGAGCUGUCUCUAUGGAUAGUCCUUAGAGAAGGCAUUUCGGAACACAGUAAACAGCAGCCUGGUGACUCCGAUUACAGGGCCAGUUGCCUUUGUUACAAUAAAAGCAAGUCAUCUACACAGACAAACUGCGGCCUGGACCAGCUGGUGAAACAUAAUUCUGAAUCCUGCCCACAGCCUUCGGUGGUUUUGGAUGAAAGGCCAGCGCCUUGGGAGCCCUGCGUUUGAUUUCAAGUUUUAAGGCCGGCACUGGUGGAGCAAUGAAUGGUGAAAGCUCUCCCCUUAAAGGAGCACAGUUGCCUUUAGGUGACUGCUAACUCAGGCUUUUGCUGAGGACAGUGUUUACUUUGUGAGCUUAAUGACAGGGCUGGCUUUCUGGGAGUGUUGCAAUGAAACAGACUCAGACACAGGCCAUCAUGGGCCUCCUCCCUAGCAAGGCCGCCACGGCUGGCAUCUCAAGAGCAGUCCGUUGAACUUGGGAUUUGGGUGUGAGACACAGUUUCAUCAGAAGAAUUUAAACCAAAGUCUACAUUUGCCCUCUAGAUAAAUGUGUGUGUUCAGCAGCAACCACAA